rnacentral:lncRNA from 1 species
CCUGUGGCAGCUCCAGCCUGUUGGCGUCUCCACAAGUGCCUGGGCCUGGCUGUGCCCAUGUGUUUGCUAUGUUGCUGCUGUCACCGCCAACUGCUCUGUCAACCGUGGGAGUGUGGGCCUGGGCUCCAGGAGCUGUUGUCCCAACUCUGAUUGUGGUUCCAGACUUAGUCACAUUUCUGUCCCAGGCUCUCUCACAGUCCCUGUUUCAGCCUCUGCCAUAGCACUGUGGCAGCAUCUGUCGUAGUACCUGUCACAGCCCCUGUCACAGCCUCUGUCACAGCCCCUGUCACAGCCUCUGUCACAGCCUCUGUCACAACCCCUGUCAUAAACUCUGUCACAGCCUCUAUCACAUACUCUCUCACAGCCCCUGUUGCAGACUCUGUCACAGCCUCUGUCACAGCCCAUCACAGCCCCUGUCACAGCAUCUGUCACAGCCCCUGUCACAGCAUCUGUCACAGCCUCUGUCAGAAUCCCUGUUGCAGACUCUGUCACAGCCUCUAUCACAUACUCUGUCACAGCCCCUGUCAUAGCAUCUGUCACAGCCCCUGUUGCAAACUCUGUCACAGCCCCUGUCACAGACUCUGUCACAGCCCCUGUUGCAGCACCUGUCACAUACUCUGUCACAGCCCGUCACAGCCUCUGUCACAGCCCCUCUCACAGCCCCGUCACAGCCCCUGUCACAGCCCCUGUCGCAGACUCUGUCACAGCCCCUGUCACAGCCCCUGUAGCAGACUCUGUCACAGCCCCUGUCACAGCCCCUGUCACAGCCCCUGCCACAGCCCCUGUCACAGCCUCUGUCACAGCCCCUGUCACAGCAUCUGUCACAGCCUCUGUCACAACCCCUGUCGUAAACUCUGUCACAGCCUCUAUCACAUACUCUCUCACAGCCCCUGUCGCAGACUCUAUCACAGCCCCAUCACAGCAUGUCACAGCCUCUGUCAGAACCCCUGCUGCAGACUCUGUCACAGCCUCUAUCACAUACUCUGUCACAGCCCCUGUCACAGUGUCUGUCACAGCUUCUGUCACAGCCCCUGUAGCAAACUCUGUCACAGCCCCUGUCACAGCCUCUGUCACAGCCCCUGUUGCAGCACCUGUCACAGCGUCUGUCACAGCCCCUGUCGCAAACUCUGUCACAGCCCCUGUCACAGACUCUGUCACAGCCCCUGUUGCAGCACCUGUCACAUACUCUGUCACAGCCCGUCACAGCCUCUGUCACAGCCCCUGUCACAGCCUCUGUCACAGCCCCUGUUGCAGCACCUGUCACAUACUCUGUCAAGCCUGUCACAACCUGUCACAGCCCCUGUCACAGCCUCUGUCACAGCGCCUGCCACAGCCCGUCACAGCCCCUGUCACAGCAUCUGUUACAGCCUCUGUCACAGCCCCUAUCGCAGACUCUGUCACAGCCUCUAUCACAUACUCUGUCACAGCCCCUGUCAUAGCGUCUGUCACAGCGUCUGUCACAGCCCCUGUCGCAAACUCUGUCACAGCCCCUGUCGCAGCACCUGUCACAUACUCUGUCACAGCCCGUCACAGCCUCUGUCACAGCCCCUGCCCCAGCCCCUGCCCCAGCCCCUGUCGCAGCGCCUGCCACAGCCCCGCCCCCGUCUCCCUGCCGCUGCCUCUGCCCUGGGCCCUGCCGCGUGGCCUGCGGGGCACAGCUCUCAUUACCCAGCGGAACUGUCUCUCUCUGGAAGGCGUCCAGGGAGAGGCUCAUGUAAUAGCAGGUUACCCUGACGUGCAGGGCUCGCGGGGGGGGGGGGGGGGGGGCCGCGCCCGGGGCCUGCACGAAGCAUGUGCUUUGCGGGGCGCCGAGAGCCGCUGCCAGGCCUGGCUGGGGCUCCCGCACGCGC